CCUACGGGUGACAGCAGUGAGGAAUAUUGGUCAAUGGGCGCUAGCCUGAACCAGCCAAGUAGCGUGAAGGAUGACUGCCCUAUGGGUUGUAAACUUCUUUUAUAUGGGAAUAAAGUGCAGUAUGUAUACUGCUUUGCAUGUACCUUAUGAAUAAGGAUCGGCUAACUCCGUGCCAGCAGCCGCGGUAAUACGGAGGAUUCGAGCGUUAUCCGGAUUUAUUGGGUUUAAAGGGAGCGUAGACGGGUUGUUAAGUCAGUUGUGAAAGUUUGCGGCUCAACCGUAAAAUUGCAGUUGAUACUGGCAGCCUUGAGUACAGUAGAGGUAGGCGGAAUUCGUGGUGUAGCGGUGAAAUGCUUAGAUAUCACGAAGAACUCCGAUUGCGAAGGCAGCCUGCUGGACUGUAACUGACAUUGAUGCUCGAAAGUGUGGGUAUCAAACAGGAUUAGAUACCCCAAUAGUC
rnacentral:rRNA from 1 species